rnacentral:ncRNA from 2 species
AAAACAACGCAGAGGGACUGCAUGUCCGGGAGAAUGCCCGGAGGGAUUGCGGUUGAGAAGGUUAAAGCCUGACUCUUUGAACCUGUCAGUUAAUACUGUCGUAGGGAGCGUAUUGGGAAGAUGC